rfam:Prevotella sp. S7 MS 2 contig032, whole genome shotgun sequence.
AGAAUAAAAUAUUUGAAAUAAAGAAUAUGAAUAUAUCAAUAUCUACAGCAUGGUGGUGGCGUUUCUCAAGAUUGAAAAAGUCGUGAGUUACGAAGCCAUGUAGAUAUUUGAAUAGAAAAGAUACAUCACAGAGGCCUGUC